rnacentral:miRNA from 1 species
GGGUAGUUUGAUAAUAAGGUCAAGUGAUGUUAAUAUCUAUAUAGAUAUCAACAUCACUUGACCUUAUUAUUAAACUGCCC